CAGCAGUUCAAGUUGCAUCCCUUUUUAUUGGGUCUAAAACAUCCGUAGCUUGCCGUAUAAGUCUCUUGUGAAAUCUCACGUCUCAAGCGUGAGGCUUGCAGGAGAUACUGUACGGCUAGAGAUCGGUAGACGUAAGCAGUACGCCGGAGGUAGUGGUAAAAUACGUUAAUCUUCGGUGGACUAACAAUCAGCGAAGGCAGCUUACGAGGACGAAUCUGACAGUGAGGGAUGAAGGCCAGGGGCGCAAAACGGAUUAGAUACCCGUGUAGUCCUGGCAGUAAACACUGUUCACUAAACAUCGGGCCCUCUUCGGGAGGAUUCGGUGCUGAAGCGAAGGCGCAGAGUGAACUACCUGGGAAGUAUAGUCGCAAGAUCGAAACUUAAAGGAAUUGGCGGGGAGACAUACAACAAGUGACGCGUGCGGUUCAAUUAGAUUUUACACCGUGAACCUCACCAGGAGCGACAGCAGGAUGAAGGUCAGUCUGAAGGGCUUACCUGACACGCUGAGCGGAGAUGCAUGGCCGACGUCAGCCUGUGCUGUGAAGUGACCUGUUAAAUCAGGUAACAGGCGAGACCCGUGUCGAUAAUUACUACAGAAAUGGGUACCUUAUCGAGACUGCCUUGGUAACAAGGAGGAAGGUGCGGGCUACGUUAGGUGAGUACGUCCCUAAUCCCCUGGGCUACACGCGCGCGGCAAUGGUAUGUUCAAAUGGAUGCGACUCCGAGAGGAGAAGCUAAUCCCCUAACGCAUAUCUCAGUCCAGAUUGAGGGCUGCAACCCACCCUCAUGACGAUGGAAUUCGUAGUAAUCGGAUAUUAGCACUGUCCGGUGAAUAAGUCCCUGUCUCUU
rnacentral:rRNA from 1 species